rnacentral:rRNA from 1 species
UACGUAGGGUGCAAGCGUUGUCCGGAAUUAUUGGGCGUAAAGAGCUCGUAGGCGGUUUGUCGCGUCUGCUGUGAAAACUCGGGGCUUAACUCCGGGCCUCGCAGUGGGGUACGGGCAGACUAGAGUGCGGUAGGGGAGACUGGAAUUCCUGGUGUAGCGGUGAAAUGCGCAGAUAUCAGGAGGAACACCGGUGGCGAAGGCGGGUCUCUGGGCCGUAACUGACGCUGAGGAGCGAAAGCGUGGGGAGCGAACAGG